rfam:Ramazzottius varieornatus DNA, contig: Scaffold013, strain: YOKOZTNA-1.
UCCCAUGUGGUCUAGUGGCUAGGAUUCCGCGCUUUCACCGCGGCGGCCGGGGUUCGAUUCCCCGCAUGGGAA